rnacentral:lncRNA from 1 species
AGUAUAUAUUUUGUAUAUAUUUCUUUGAUUCCGAUUGUAUUAAAUACUUUUGAUAAGAAUAUUAUCUUUCUGUUUUCGAUCUAAAUAUUAAUAUUUUAACCAGAAUGUUCUCUCCCGUAAGUCUAUGAUGAAAUACACAGUAAUUCCGUGGUUAAAUCUUCAAACAUAAUUAGUUAACAUGUUAUCGAGACAACAGACAAUACCACGUUAUAAUUGACCCAGAUACACACAGUGUACAGUGGUCGAUUUAAAACAAAUAUAAUUGCGUCGUCAAGGGCCAUCAAGGGAUCAUAACAGAUAACGUAGAUAACAACCUGUUAAGACCUGUAUAAAUGACCGAAAACUUUAGAGACGUUCCGAGAAUUUUAUUCUGACUUCCGGCCGAGAGAUAUCGAGUGGACCAUAGACACAUCCAAAACUCGCCAAUAUAUAAGCAUGAACCCCUUUUCAUUUUGUGUUGGAUGUUAUUUGACUCACGCAGCUACGGUGGCACAUGCUGCUGCGAUUUUUCAGGUUGAACAAUUAAAGCUCUUUGAUUUCUUUCUUACUGAUAAUCCUACAGUUUGCCCCUGUCCCCUGUAAAGUUGUUUUCACGUAAAGGAGGCUUUACUUUUAACAAACAAGAGAGUGUUUUUACUUUAAAUAGUUAUCAAAGGUACCAGGCUUAUAAUUUAAUACACCAGGCACUCGUUAUGUCUACAUAAGACUCAUCAGUGACCCUCAGAUCAAAAUAGAUAGAAAACCAAACAAGUAUAAAGUUGAGGAACAUUGAGGCAUACCUGUCAACUGACCCGGAUUCUGUGGGUGUGACCCGAGAUUUUCACAAUUCUGAGGGUUCACCCGGAUCACCCGCCGGGUCAUUGAAAUAACCCGGAAAUUCCGAAAAUGACCCGAUUUCACCCGUAUUUCUUAGCCUUGAGAUUGAUUUUCAUAAGUAAUAUUCCUUUGAAAUACCGGCAAAUUCGUAAUUCUUCCAUGAACAUGCAGUUCAUCUAGCUAUGUAAACUGUCAAAUUAAGUGACCCAUUAAGUGCAUGGCUUCACUUGACAGCUUUGGUGUCAAACACACUGUUGAUUAACACCAAUUACCUUAGCUUUAAGUCGUAAAUAAAUUGCCCUGUUGUUUUACAAAGAUAUUUCAACUAAGAUUUACUUCCCCUUAUUUGUCACCAUUCAAAAUUAUUCCUUAUAUUUACGUUUUAUGGGUGGAAAAGAUUAAAUCAUAAUAAUAUAAAAUUCAAAUACAUAUUGAAAAAUAACUUUUCAUUAUUUUUAUACCUUUUAAAUAUACAAUUUAAAAAAAAAAAAAAGUUGAAAAUUAUUUUUUACAUUUAUACUUCCUUCCUUUAACUGUAUUACUAUAUUUUAUCAUAGUCUAAUUUCUUUGUCAACUGAGAGCCGACCGUGCAAGGGCUGUAUAGCCAGU